UUUCUAAGGAGCAUCUGAAGUCCUCGGACUUCCAGAACCCAGAUCGAAGACACACGUUCUUCGCUGGGAGCUCAUGGGUGGAACAUUAGACAAGGCAUCACGGAUGCAUGGUUUUCGUUAGUACGCUGCUUCGGCGGUUGGAACGGGAAGGUCAUGGGGAUGUGGUGCAUGCACGCUGUUGGGUCCUGAGGGACCGGAACCGUUUCUUCGGAAGCGGGACUGAACCUCUGGGCCCCUUUUCGUUUCCUCCUUUGCGGGGUUGCGUGAGGGGUACCGCCCGUACUUUGGGAACUACACAGUGGACGCGAGCAUCUUCAGCAUCACCUUCGGGUGGUGUUGUAAUGAUGAUCUUAAAGAUCAUUAGUCAAUUUCAAUUUUGACGAUUCGAACUCAUGAUUUG
rnacentral:misc_RNA from 1 species